UCUUCAAGGAUUUUUAUGAAUGCAAAUGGUUUUUUCCCCUUCACCAAUAAGGAUCCCGCCACAAAUGAUAAAGCAAUACUUGGUCUGCUGUACAUUAUGACUUUUUGGAGUUUCGGGAGGCCUCCUAGAUUAUACGGUACGGUGACCACACAUUGUACAUAAUUGUUGGCCCCACUCACCAGAGACUGAAUAGCAUCUUUAAAUAUUGUGUCGAGCCUUAAAAUAUUCACAUGUUCGUAAUCCAUUCCAGGGUGGGGAUUGCCAACUCAGUGGUGGGAGGAGAGAAAUCCCAUUCAAACAGCUUGUUUCUAGAAGCAGGAUUCCUCCUUCCCUCCACCUCAUCUUCUUCCACAAGGACACAAAGAUAAAACUAUAUCCCAUAGUGGACUAAUUAAGAGACAGAUGGUUUUAUUGCUAGCGCGUGAAUUUAUUUGUUUAAUCCUCAAAAUAAAUAUUUUAUUGAUGUCCAUUAAUGCUUUUAUUUAUUAAGGUUGGUACUCUAUAGAUUAAGGGACUAUAUGGGAAAAGAAACCUAAAUUAUAUCCAUUAUUAAGACUUUAGAUUGUUUUAUAUAAAUAUAUAUACAAUGAAUGUUUAAUACAUGUACAUUUUGAUGAGAUAAGUAUGGAAGGCAAUAUUAUGAAAAGGAGAGCUAAUAGUCUCUUUAGAGUAGGAAGUGUUAUUGUGACUGGUGAUGGCAGGAACAGCAUUUUCCCAGAGAAACUAAAGGGACUGUUUUCUAUUUUGUUCAUAAUCCUAGUAUUUGGUGUUUUUACUACAAGCACAAACAUCUGAAAGUAUAUUGAUUCCUGUGAAUAUUUAAACUCUAGACUUUUAGAUACCUACCUAAUGCCCUGUCCAAUAAACAUGCUUCAAGUUGCCCCUACUAUUUUAGAAACAGGAACUGAUUUGUACAUAAUUUUACUGCUUCUGUUUUUAGCACUUCUGUCCCUGAUCACAGUGAUCCACAGAAUGUUUUAGGCUACAAAGAAAAAAAAAAGAGCAGAACUAGAAGAUGUGAGCAUAUUUAAUUUGUAAUGCAAACCUGCCAUUUAGGAGUAGAAAAUGUAUGAUAAAACUCAAGUAUUACAUGCAGAUCAUUUUAAUUUUCUACUUUGCUUUAAUGCAAUAUUGUUUAUUUACUCCAUGUAUUGUAUUCAGAGAAAC
rnacentral:lncRNA from 1 species